rnacentral:rRNA from 1 species
UACGGAAGGCAGCAGUGGGGAAUAUUGCACAAUGGGCGCAAGCCUGAUGCAGCCAUGCCGCGUGUAUGAAGAAGGCCUUCGGGUUGUAAAGUACUUUCAGUCGUGAGGAAGGUGUUAAGGUUAAUAACCUUAGCAAUUGACGUUAGCGACAGAAGAAGCACCGGCUAACUCCGUGCCAGCAGCCGCGGUAAUACGGAGGGUGCGAGCGUUAAUCGGAAUUACUGGGCUAAAGGGCACGCAGGCGGUUAAUUAAGUUGGAUGUGAAAUCCCCGGGCUUAACCUGGGAAUGGCAUUCAAGACUGGUUAGCUAGAGUCUUGUAGAGGGGGUAGAAUUCCAUGUGUAGCGGUGAAAUGCGUAGAGAUGUGGAGGAAUACCGGGUGGCGAAGGCGGCCCCUGGGACAAAGACUGACGCUCAUGUGCGAAAGCGUGGGGAGCAAACAGGGAUUAGAUACC